ACGCACGCUGGCGGCGUGCUUCACACAUGCAAGUCGAACGGAAAGGCCCUGCUUGCAGGGUACUCGAGUGGCGAACGGGUGAGUAACACGUGGGUGAUCUGCCCUGCACUUCGGGAUAAGCCUGGGAAACUGGGUCUAAUACCGGAUAGGAGCCAUUUUUAGUGUGAUGGUUGGAAAGUUUUUUCGGUGUAGGAUGAGCUCGCGGCCUAUCAGCUUGUUGGUGGGGUAAUGGCCUACCAAGGCGGCGACGGGUAGCCGGCCUGAGAGGGUGGACGGCCACAUUGGGACUGAGAUACGGCCCAGACUCCUACGGGAGGCAGCAGGGGGGAAUAUUGCACAAUGGGCGCAAGCCUGAUGCAGCGACGCCGCGUGGGGGAUGACGGCCUUCGGGUUGUAAACUCCUUUCGCUAGGGACGAAGCUUUUUGUGACGGUACCUAGAUAAGAAGCACCGGCUAACUACGUG
rnacentral:rRNA from 1 species